rnacentral:rRNA from 1 species
GACGAACGCUGGCGGCGUGCUUAACACAUGCAAGUCGAACGGAAAGGCUCCAGCUUGCUGGAUUGCUCGAGUGGCGAACGGGUGAGUAACAAGUGGGCAAUCUUCCCUGCACUCUGGGAUAAGCCUGGGAAACUGUGUCUAAUACCGGAUAGGACCUUUCUCCUCAUGGGGUUUGGUGGAAAGUUUUUCGGUGCAGGAUGAGCCCGCGGCCUAUCUGCUUGUUGGUGGGGUAAUGUCCUACCAAGGCGACGACGGGUAGCCGGCCUGAGAGGGUGAUCGGCAAAAUUGGGACUGAGAUACGGCCAGAACUCCUACGGGAGGAAGAAGUGGGGAAAAUUGAACAAUGGGCGAAAGCCUGAUGCAGCGACGCCGCGUGAGGGAUGACGGCCUUCGGGUUGUAAACCUCUUUCAGUAGGGACGAAGCGCAAGUGACGGUACCUGCAGAAGAAGCACCGGCUAACUACGUG